CAUUCUUGGAUUUGCUCUCUUCAUGGGUCUCUCCAUGAAUCAGUAUUUCAAUACAUAUGAUGUAUUUUCUGGUCAGCCCCUUCCUAAUGCUAGCUCCUCCUGGUUCAAAAAUUUAAUGCAAGUGAUUUUCUCAUCCCCACCAACAACUGCAACUAUUUUUGCUUCCCUUUUUGAUCUUAUCCUUCCUAGACCCUCCGUUGAAGAAGGAGAGGAGAAAAAAGAAGAUGCGAA